rnacentral:rRNA from 1 species
UACGAAGGGGGCUAGCGUUGCUCGGAAUUACUGGGCGUAAAGCGCACGUAGGCGGGUCGUUAAGUCGGGGGUGAAAUCCUGGAGCUCAACUCCAGAACUGCCCUCGAAACUGGCGAUCUUGAGUUCGGGAGAGGUGAGUGGAACUGCGAGUGUAGAGGUGAAAUUCGUAGAUAUUCGCAAGAACACCAGUGGCGAAGGCGGCUCACUGGCCCGAUACUGACGCUGAGGUGCGAA